ensembl:lincRNA
CCCACGCAUGUCUGGUGCUACUGGUGGCCAAUACACUGCUGGUUUGGAAGGCAUUUUGUGCUGCCUCUCCCAUGGCAGAGCAUACUCAUGAUCUUGACCUUUUUGCUGAUGUUGGAACUCUGUACUAUGUCGGCCUGGCAAAGGAACCAAAUAUAAAACUCCAGCCUUUGCAGACUCCCAUUCUCAGCACUUCUGGCACUGGGGCAGUUUCAUGAGCUAUGUGCACUGUGUCCUGGUCCUCACGAAGGUGACAAGCAGCCUCACUUACCUUGUUCAUCCACUCUGCCUGCGGAAACCCCGGACUUCCUGGCCAAGGCCACUCUGAGCGUGCAGGAGCCCUACCAGCAACGCUGGCCACCCAUGCACACAGGGCACGAGAAUCAAAAUGGUGCUCGUGAGGACAAGCGGCGACACCUUCAAGACAGCCACAGCUUCAAGAUGCUCCUUCAGUUCUCCGUCUGUUGCAGGUGCUGGUGGACCUGGCCGUCCUGGGGCAGGUGUAGGCCUUCACCCGCCACCCCUAGAAGGCUGAGCCCGUUGCAGCGCCCCGGCCAGAGCCAAGGCACUCAGAAGCAGCCAGAGAGGACCAGGAAGUGUGGCACCUGCGCAGGCGCCGGCUGGGACGCUGUUUCCCGGAUGCCGGAGGGCGGGCACCGCGUCCCCCGGCAGGCUGACAGGGGUUCUGUGGGGAGAGAUGAGAUGGCGUCAGGUCGUCAAGUUCUGGAUCAGGACCCUGUGGAGGUCUCAGGGCGGGCGGUGGGGGCCACUGUGUUCUCCAACGCAAGCACGCGGAGAAUGGAUUUUCUUCAGGCCCUGAGGGACAGCGGGCCCUCAGGAACCUUCCCUGAUCUUGGUGGAUCUGGGCCCCAGCUCCCUGGAUCCACCCCAGCCGCAUCUCUGGCCUCCUGGUGGGUUGAGGGACUGCGGACCCAGAGUGCGGACCCGGAAGCGAGAAGGAGACCUGGCGUCAGGGGUCCCCCAUGUCCCUCGAUCUCUACAGCCUUCGGCCUCAGCGCGCCCCUGACUGGACACCCUGGUUGGACUGGCUUGGCCUAUGCGCCCCAGCGCGUUAGGCACCCACAGCAGGGCCUGGGUGUUCUCUGCCCCCGGUUAACGUGGAAAGGAGGCCGCAAGGACGCAGUGGUCCGUUUUUCUGGCCAGAUUUUCUGGCCAGAUUCGGCCUUCAGAGCGGCCACCUCCAGAGACUCGGCCCUGCCACCCUGGCGCCCGCCCGGACGCCUCGCUGCCUUGGGAGACCCUAGUGUAGACACCCCGGUGAAAACGGGCCUGCCCGGGUCCAGGCUGAGCCGGAGUGCGCCCAGGAGUGUUCCAGUCAGAGCCUCCAGUUCUCGAGUCCCAGCGACCCUCGGUCAGACCUGGAAGCCCUCUGGGAGGAGGAGGAGGCCGGGACUGGGCUGCGCGGACACAGCCCCAGACACCUUCCUACGGAGAUGGCGGGGAAAGAUAGACAGCUCUUCAGUAGCUUCAUAUAAGAUCAGAGUCUUCUAAAUUUGAACUCCUCUCCAUUUCAUGUGCAGGUACCAUAACUAAGAAAGUGAUUUUUUAAAAAAAUGUCAAUCAGCAAAAGUAUGUUCCCUUGCUUUUUAACACCAUGACUAAUGAUGGGCUUCCUGUUUUGGCAGUAGUUAUACCUUUAGAGUAGUGAAUGCCUCCC